GUUUGGGAGGCGCGCGGGACAGUUGUCGUGAGGGGUGGGGGGAAGGGCGGGGCCGGCGCCUGAGGCGGAGAAGAAAUGCGUGUUUUUUAAAAAAAUUUCUCGCAUGAGCUCAAGGUGGGCACGUGUUUCAUCUCAACAACAACCACCACCUUGUGAGGUAAGCCAGCCUGAGGAGCAGAGUUGAGUUGCAAGCCGCGUCUACUUUGGAGCAAGGCCCCGACUCCUUCAGCCUCCCACCAGAAAGCAAAACGUUCUUUUGGAAGCUGAACAUCCGACGGGGCUUCCA